rnacentral:rRNA from 1 species
GAGCGGCGACGGGUGAGUACAUAUCGGAACAUAUCUAUAGUGGGGGAUAACGCAGCGAAAGCUGUGCUAAUACCGAUGAGAUCGUAAGAUGAAAGCGGGGGCUCGCAAGACUCGCGCUAUUGGAGUGGCGAUAUCAGAUUACUAGUUGGUGAGGUAAAGGCUCACCAAGGCGAUGAUCUGUAGCUGGUCUGAGAGGAUGAUCAGCCACACUGGAACUGAGACACGGUCCAGACUCCUACGGGAGGCAGCAGUUGGGUGGGAACAUUCUUUGCGAACAAUGGGGGCAACCCUGAUCCAGCCAUUCCGCGUGAGUGAAGAAGGCCUUCGGGUUGUAAAGCUCUUUUGUCGGGGACGAAACGGUUUUGGUUAAUAACCAAGACUACUGACGGUACCCGAAGAAUAAGCACCGGCUAACUACGUGCCAGCAGCCGCGGUAAUACGUAGGGUGCGAGCGUUAAUCGGAA